rnacentral:rRNA from 1 species
UACGUAGGGUGCAAGCGUUGUCCGGAAUUAUUGGGCGUAAAGAGCUCGUAGGCGGUUUGUCGCGUCUGCUGUGAAAACCCGAGGCUCAACCUCGGGCCUGCAGUGGGUACGGGCAGACUAGAGUGCGGUAGGGGAGAUUGGAAUUCCUGGUGUAGCGGUGGAAUGCGCAGAUAUCAGGAGGAACACCGAUGGCGAAGGCAGAUCUCUGGGCCGUAACUGACGCUGGAGGAGCGAAAGCCAGGGGAGCAAACGGG